rnacentral:lncRNA from 1 species
UCUUUAUUUCCUCACAAUGCAGCUACAGUACUCACAUCAGCCAGCACCUCAUUCCUAUACUGAUCUCACCAGAGAGCCAGUGCCACCCUUAAAAGACUAGACAGAGCCACUAAGGGGCCCUUACUCGACAGCUGCCCUGGGGAACACUGAGCCGCUACAGGUUGAAGACCCUUUCCAUCAGCAAUGACUACUUUUCUUGCCUGGUAUGGGAAGAUUUUCAUUCACUGACAAUCUGGUCAAAAUAAGGAUCAAGUUUACUCUCAUACUGGAAGCGCGGGAUGUAGGAGAGCAUCAAAAGAUUAUCUCCAGGUCACUGCUCAGAAAUCAAAUCCUAGAUCGAUGCUUGGAAAUCAAUUUAUGAGGAGAGGUAGAAGCCUUACAGAUGUCUCUGUUGGAGCCCCAUACGCUCAAAUGCGUUUACCCUGGGUGUCCCAGCCAGCCCAACGCAGCUGAGUGGGUGACUCUGAAUGAGGCCGUGGGAAGAACGGCACCCACGUAAACUCCACUAACCUGAAGAACUGUGCAAAAUAAACCAGGAAGUUGUGGCGUAGUCUGUUACUCUGUAAUAGAGAACUGAAAAAAAG